GACGAACGCUGGCGGCGUGCUUAACACAUGCAAGUCGAACGGAAAGGCCCUGCUUUUGUGGGGUGCUCGAGUGGCGAACGGGUGAGUAACACGUGAGUAACCUGCCCUUGACUUUGGGAUAACUUCAGGAAACUGGGGCUAAUACCGGAUAGGAGCUCCUGCUGCAUGGUGGGGGUUGGAAAGUUUCGGCGGUUGGGGAUGGACUCGCGGCUUAUCAGCUUGUUGGUGGGGUAGUGGCUUACCAAGGCUUUGACGGGUAGCCGGCCUGAGAGGGUGACCGGCCACAUUGGGACUGAGAUACUGCCGAGUCUCCUACGGGAGGCAGCAGUGGGGAAUAUUGCACAAUGGGCGGAAGCCUGAUGCAGCAACGCCGCGUGCGGGAUGACGGCCUUCGGGUUGUAAACCGCUUUCGCCUGUGACGAAGCGUGAGUGACGGUAAUGGGUAAAGAAGCACGGGCUAACUACGUG
rnacentral:rRNA from 1 species